rnacentral:rRNA from 1 species
AUUGAACGCUGGCGGCAUGCCUUACACAUGCAAGUCGAACGGCAGCACGGGAGCAAUCCUGGUGGCGAGUGGCGAACGGGUGAGUAAUAUAUCGGAACGUGCCCGGUCGUGGGGAUAACGUAGCGAAAGCUACGCUAAUACCGCAUACGAUCUACGGAUGAAAGCGGGGGAUCGCAAGACCUCGCGCGAUUGGAGCGGCCGAUAUCAGAUUAGGUAGUUGGUGAGGUAAAGGCUCACCAAGCCGACGAUCUGUAGCUGGUCUGAGAGGACGACCAGCCACACUGGGACUGAGACACGGGCCCAGACUCCUACGGGAGGCAGCAGUGGGGAAUUUGGACAAUGGGCGCAAGCCUGAUCCAGCAAUGCCGCGUGCAGGA